GUCCUCUCCCCCGCGGUUCCCUUCAACGUCGCCUCCCUAGAGAUCCGCCGCUUCUCUGCCCUCUGCUCGUCGAUUCGGCGCCUCCUCUCCUUCACGCGCCCACGCUGCCGUCGCCUCCUCCUCACUGUCGUCCAUGCCGUGUAGCCGCCUACGGCCAUGGCCGCUGGAGCCAGCGACUAUUUGACGGUGGAGUACCACUCCAGAGACUCCCCUCUUUCCCCUCCGACGACGAGGGAGCCACCGGCGGCAGCGGCGUCCUCGUACACCACGGUGGGCACGGUGGGCGAUCUUCUCAUGAAGUGGUGGUAGUGCCUCGUGGACGUCGACGGAGACGCGGCGUGCCUGCCCCUCGUCCUCCUGCUCCUUGUCUUCUCCGCCGCCCCGUCUCCUGCUCACGGCUGCGACCGCUGCGUGCGCCGGUCCAGGGCCACCUAUUACCAGGCCUCCUCGCUCGCCCUCAACGGUACCCCUGCCUUGUGGGGUCGUCCAACUGGCGGUUCAUGUCGCGGGACCACGGGCCGGCGUGGAGCACGGCGCAGGCGCCGCUGUAGUUCCGGCUGGUGGUGACCGGUGGCUACGACGGCAAGUGGGUGUGGGCGGAGUCGGAGGUGCUGCCGCGCCGGUGGGAGGCCGGCCGCGUCUAUGACGCCGGGGUGCAGGUCUCCGACGUCGCGCAGGAAGGGUGCUACCUCUGCGACACGCGCAAGUGGCAGUGAUGCUCGCACGAGCUGGAUUGUACAGUUUUUUGUUUUGGUCGGGAAUGGGACGAAAGAUAUGAAAUGAUGAUUAGCGGAGCCGGAGAGCCGAAUCAAAUCUAUUAACCGGUGGCGCUGGAAGGGAGUUUUUUGGAACCUAAGAUGUCGUUGAAGAACAUCCCGUUACUCCACGCCGGACUUGCCGCGCGCCGCAUGCAAGGUGCUCGACGGUUUGCUGCUGCACUGGGCAGGCAUGGCAGCAGGCCGGGGCUACUGGGAGGACAGGUGCGCCGGAUGUUCUCGCCGGAGACCACCGUCCCGGAGCCGCUGCCCAACCCAGACUACUCCUUCACGUUGAAGUACAUCGUCGGUGUCCUCCGACCUGGCAGCAUCUCGGGUUGCUGCAGUUGAUCGCCGUGCCGCGAGGAUGACGUCGUCGGUGUCCUCCGAUGACAAGGAGGAUGACGUCGGCGGCUCCGGCUCCGCGAAGGCCUCAAGGCCUGCAGCAGACUUCCGCCUCUCGUCCAUGGCGGCCUCUACGGCCUGCAUUGAGAGCUUCACAAACCUCAUCUCCAUCCCAAUCUCAUUUGUGCUACUCGCAUCGUUCUUCGGUUUCUUUCUUUGGAGGAACAAGAUGGACGACACACACGAGGUUGGCUGAUGACGCUCGACAUACGAGAGCAACAAGAUGCGCGAAGAGCAAGCUGCGACGCGUGCUACUGUGCCAGUCGCCCACUGCCUGCUCUGCGGAGUUCACCAUGGAGGUUGGCGACGAACUCGUGAGGUUGGACAAACAACGUCGGGUCCGACGGUGGAGGAUCCAUUUCCGACGAGGUAGAGCCGGGAGCCGGCAACUGGGAGUGAAACACAGAGGAAUGGAAGAGCCGUUUUGCUCCAUGGUUACGGUUGAUGCCUGUUUAGAGUUGUUAAAAUUGGAGAGGAUAGCAAAAGAACAAAGAGCCAGCUGUUAUAAUACUACUAUUCUAAUUACAAGUUUGGGAAUACUAUUUUUAAGAAGCCCAGAGAUUGGGACACCACGGUUCCAAAAAACUCGCUGGAAGGGUGCUGCCGUCGAUUCCUCUACCGGUGGCGCUGGAACACAAGUAACCGGCAGUUGCCGACCAUUACCAAGAUCUCUAAAGGGCUCAGAUUAAUUAGAUAAUCCAGCAUAAGCACAAAACGUUAAUCUCAAAUCUAUUAGCAGAUAUA